GCCAAGCAUGGUGGUGCAUGCCUGUAGUCCCAGCUACUGGGAGGCUGAGGCAAGAGGCUUGCUUGAGCCAGGAGUUUAGGCCUGCAGUGAGCUAUGAUUGCACCACUGCACUCCUGCCUGGGUGACAGAGUGAGACCCUGUCUCAA
ensembl:misc_RNA Metazoa_SRP Metazoan signal recognition particle RNA